GAUGAACGCUGGCGGCGUGCCUAAUACAUGCAAGUCGAACGCAUAGCGAAAGGUGCUUGCACCUUUCAAGUGAGUGGCGAACGGGUGAGUAACACGUGGACAACCUGCCUCAAGGCUGGGGAUAACAUUUGGAAACAGAUGCUAAUACCGAAUAAAACUUAGUGUCGCAUGACACAAAGUUAAAAGGCGCUUCGGCGUCACCUAGAGAUGGAUCCGCGGUGCAUUAGUUAGUUGGUGGGGUAAAGGCCUACCAAGACAAUGAUGCAUAGCCGAGUUGAGAGACUGAUCGGCCACAUUGGGACUCAGACACGGCCCAAACUCCUACGGGAGGCUGCAGUAGGGAAUCUUCCACAAUGGGCGAAAGCCUGAUGGAGCAACGCCGCGUGUGUGAUGAAGGCUUUCGGGUCGUAAAGCACUGUUGUAUGGGAAGAACAGCUAGAAUAGGAAAUGAUUUUAGUUUGACGGUACCAUACCAGAAAGGGACGGCUAAAUACGUG
rnacentral:rRNA from 1 species